rnacentral:rRNA from 1 species
AUUGAACGCUGGCGGCAGGCCUAACACAUGCAAGUCGAACGAGUGGCACACGGGUGUGACGUGUCUGGGAAACUGCCUGAUGGAGGGGGAUAACUACUGGAAACGUGAGCAAAUAGCGUAUGCCAUCGGAUGUGCACAGAUGGGAUUAGCUAGUAGGUGGGGUAAAGGCUCACCUAGGCGACGCUCCAUAGCGGGUCUGAGAGGAGGACCAGCCACACUGGGACUGAGACACGGUCCAGACUCCUACGGGAGGCAGCAGUGGGGAAUAUUGCACAAUGGGCGCAAGCCUGAUGCAGCCAUGCCGCGUGUAUGAAGAAGGCCUUCGGGUUGUAAAGUACUUUCAGCGGGGAGGCGUUACCCGCAGAAGAAGCACCGGCUAACUCCGUGCCAGCCGCCGCGGUAAUUC